rnacentral:rRNA from 1 species
CCUACGGGGUGCAGCAGUGGGGAAUAUUGGGCAAUGGGCGCAAGCCUGCCCCAGCAACGCCGCGUGAAGGAAGAAGGCUUUCGGGUUGUAAACUUCUUUUCUCAGGGACGAAGCAAGUGACGGUACCUGAGGACUAAGCCACGGCUAACUACGUGCCCGCAGCCGCGGUAAUACGUAGGUUGCAAGCGUUAUCCGGAUUUACUGGGUGUAAAGGGCUUGUAGGCGGGACGGCAAGUCAGAUGUGAAAACCACGGGCUCAACCUGUGGCCUGCAUUUGAAACUGUAGUUCUUGAGUACUGGAGAGGCAGACGGAAUUCCUGGUGUAGCGGUGAAAUGCGUAGAUAUUAGGAGGAACACCAGUGGCGAAGGCGGUCUGCUGGACAGCAACUGACGCUGAGGCGCGAAAGCGUGGGGAGCAAACAGGAUUAGAUACCCUGGUAGUC